AAGGGCGACUGAAGCGGGAAGAGCUCACUCUGUGAAUCUGUAUGCUCUUCUGCUAUACCGAGUUGUAGAAUAUAGAAGCACAUCAGUGCGAAUUCCGGUCUAAGUCUCUUGGAAAAGAGCAGCUAAGAGGGUGAGACUCCCGUUCUUGGCUGGAAUUCAAACUUUAGCAUGUGGUUUCGACGAGUCGAGUUGCUUGGGAUUGCAGCUCAAAGUUGGUGGUAAAUUCCAUCUAAAGCUAAAUAUCGGUGGGAGACCGAUAGCGUACAAGUACCGUGAGGGAAAGAUGCAAAGAACUUUGAAAAAAGAGUUAAAGAGUACCUGAAAUUGCUGAAAUGGAAGCGAAGGAAACCAGUGCCGUUCUGUAUCAUUCUUCCGUCCUUGCUUGCGAGGGUGGCGCUGUGAUGCAGGAUAGGCCAGCGUGGGUUUGAGCCGAAGGAAGCAGCUCUUCAGGAGGCAGCGCAAUUUCUGUGCGAUUACUGUUGAGCUUUGCUUCGGCUUGGACUGAGGCUAGUCACUUGUGCUCGUGACGCUGGCGAAAUGGUUUUCUUUACCCCGUCUUGAAACACGGACCAAGGAGUCUAACAUAUGUGCGAGUAUAUGAGUGACAAACUCACAUGCGAAAUGAAAGUAACAGUGGUUGGACCUUCUGGGCACAAUCCGCCGGCCACAAUCCUUCGGGAGAAAGGUCUGAGUGUGAGCAUACAUGUUGGGACCCGAAAGAUGGUGAACUAUGCCUGAAUAGGGUGAAGC
rnacentral:rRNA from 1 species